AGUCGAGGGGUAUUUAUCUUCGGAUAGAGAGACCGGCGCACGGGUGCGUAACGCGUAUGCAAUCUACCUUUUACAGAGGGAUAGCCCAGAGAAAUUUGGAUUAAUACCUCAUAGUAUGUGAGAAUGGCAUCAUUUUCACAUUAAAGUCACAACGGUAAAAGAUGAGCAUGCGUCCCAUUAGCUAGUUGGUAAGGUAACGGCUUACCAAGGCUACGAUGGGUAGGGGUCCUGAGAGGGAGAUCCCCCACACUGGUACUGAGACACGGACCAGACUCCUACGGGAGGCAGCAGUGAGGAAUAUUGGACAAUGGGCGCAAGCCUGAUCCAGCCAUGCCGCGUGCAGGAUGACGGUCCUAUGGAUUGUAAACUGCUUUUGCACAGGAAGAAACAACGCUACGUGUAGCGUCUUGACGGUACUGUGAGAAUAAGGAUCGGCUAACUCCGUGCCAGCAGCCGCGGUAAUACGGAGGAUCCAAGCGUUAUCCGGAAUCAUUGGGUUUAAAGGGUCCGUAGGCGGUUUAGUAAGUCAGUGGUGAAAGCCCAUCGCUCAACGGUGGAACGGCCAUUGAUACUGCUAGACUUGAAUUAUUAGGAAGUAACUAGAAUAUGUAGUGUAGCGGUGAAAUGCUUAGAGAUUACAUGGAAUACCAAUUGCGAAGGCAGGUUACUACUAAUGGAUUGACGCUGAUGGACGAAAGCGUGGGUAGCGAACAGGAUUAGAUACCCUGGUAGUCCACGCCGUAAACGAUGGAUACUAGCUGUUGGGAGCGAUCUCAGUGGCUAAGCGAAAGUGAUAAGUAUCC
rnacentral:rRNA from 1 species